UACGUAGGUGGCAAGCGUUGUCCGGAAUUAUUGGGCGUAAAGCGCGCGCAGGCGGUCCUUAAAGUCUGAUGGGAAAGCCCACGGCUCAACCGUGGAGGGUCAUUGGAAACUGGGGGACUUGAGUGCAGGAGAGAAGAGUGGAAUUCCACGUGUAGCGGUGAAAUGCGUAGAGAUGUGGAGGAACACCAGUGGCGAAGGCGACUCUUUGGCCUGUAACUGACGCUGAGGCGCGAAAGCGUGGGGAGCAAACAGG
rnacentral:rRNA from 1 species